rnacentral:sRNA from 1 species
AGUGGUCUCUGAGUUAGAGCUUAACAGUGUAAAUCCACCGCCCGACACGAUCGAAGAGG